UCUUUGAUUGCAGGUUUAGCUCUGCGCGAGAACUGGGAAAUUUAAUUGUGACCUCCAAUCUAAUCGACUCUGCUUUGACUAAAAUUCUUGAGCUUCAAAGAGACCAAACAGCCUUGCCUUCCCCCGUUCAAUACAGAGUUUUUUAUCCAUCUCCCAAGUGCACAAUUGUAGCUUUUGUCUCUUCACCUGACUGCACUCAAAACCCUCUUCCUGGACAAGGAGAUUUAGUUCCCUCUCCUCUCUUUGACUUCCUCUGCACCGAAGAAUACCCUUCCGUCUCCAUUAACGGAGCCGCAUUAACCCUCUUUACCUCUCUCUACGAUCAUCUCUCUGGACUAAUAGAUGAGGUCAAAAUCUGAUACUUGUUUUAAUUUACGUUAACUUUUCGUUAACAAUUGUGAGACACGAAACAGCUUGACCAUGAGAUCUCCCUCAUGGAGUCAAAACCCGUGUUGGUAUCUGUUUUUAGAUCAACUUAUAUAUAUAUAUAUAUAUAUAUAUAUAUAUCUUGUGGAUAAAAGGAAAGUUUACAAGUGAGAAUAGUGGCAUUUUUCUGACAGAUUUCACACCGUUGCUUGUUUUGCAGUUGACUGUGAUUGAAGGUCGAUUAAUCAUCACUGGGCACUCGAUGGGAGGAUCCGUUGCUUCUCUCUUCACCUUAUGCCUGCUAGAAGUCAUUAAUAUAUCAAAACCCAAAUGCCGCCCCAUUUGCAUCACCUUUGGUUCACCCCUCAUAGGCGACUUUGGCCUCCAACACUCCAAUUGGAAUUCUUUCUUCUUGCAUGUAGUGUCCAACCAAGAUCUAGUCCCCGGACUCUUCCUCCCAUCCGGCAGAUCUCCUCCCACAUCCUCCCAUUCACAAACUACUGGUUACAAGCCCUUUGGGACAUAUCUCUUGUGCUCUGAACUUGGUUGUGCUUGUUUUGACAACCCUGAUUUAAUUUUGGAAUUGCUGAAAGUCAUAUCAUCAGAGGUUGCCGGAGGAUUGCGGGAUGUUGAUUACAGGAAGAUUUUAAUAAACCUCAAGGAGAGGGCAAUCUUCAAGGGACUUCAGCAGGUGGGUGAAAGGUUUGCAGAUCCCUUGUCAGCUGGGAUCGUCAUGGACCUUGAGAUAAUUGGAUUUGAUCAAACAAAGGUAAACAGCUUUCUCCCAAUUAAUGAUGUAGUAUGGUUUACACUCAACUUCACCAAAACCUGCAACAACUGCCCUAUUUAGAUUUGCCUUCCUGUUCUUUGGGUUCUUCUAUAACUUCUCAUUUUUUAAAUUCAUGGCAGCUGUUGCGGCACAACAUUGAUAUCAACACUGUGAUAAGGAUACUGGGAGUGGAAGCCAGAAUCCUAGCCCACAAAAAUAAAGCUUCUGAUGCCAAGAAACUGAAUGACAUAAAAAUACACAUGGCCCAGCUAGAAUGGUAUAAGAAGAAAUCAAAAGAUCUGAACAAGGGUUACUACGACUGCUUCAAAAACCAGGGGUCAAAAAGGGACAUUAAAAUUGAACAGUAUAGGGGACACCUCACAAUAUACUGGAAAGACAUGGUUGCACAAGUACAGAGGAAGCCCCAGAAGGAAGGAGCAUCAUUUCGAACCAGUUGGCUCUAUCCAGGGACAACUUAUAGAAGAAUGGUUGAACCACUGGACAUUGCUGCCUUCUACAGAGAGGGUAGAACAGACUACAUAAACAAUGGAAGAUCUCCUCAUUACAAGCUGUUGCAGCAAUGGUAUGAGGAAGAUGUGAAGCCCCCAUCCAGAGAUAAGCUCGAUUCCAAGAAACUAAAGGUGUCUGGUAUCCUAACUGAGGAUUCUUUGUUUUGGGCACAUGUGGAGGAGGCUCUCUUGUCAUGCGAAUCGCUCAAGAGUGCAAACUCUACUCUUGAGCAGAGAAAAUCAUCAUGGGAUAAUCUGGUUAAGUUUGGGGAGUAUGUAAUGGAACAGAUUGGAAACUAUGCAGUGUCCCCUGAGAUUUUCUUGGGGGAAAGCAGCUUCAUGAAAUGGUGGGGAGUGUAUGAGGACUACAUAGAUGCUUCCAAUAAUUCCUAUGGGUCACCAUUGAUCAGCUUUAUGAAGAACCGUAGUUAUAGACUGUAUGGUUAGAGGGCAAUCCAGUUUGUGUAUUGUGUUUAUUGUAUUGUGAGCAUUCAAUAGAUAAAACUAGAAAGAGCGUGACCUUUUUAUGACAACUUUAGAAACCAGGGGUUAAAAGAGACAUUACAAACUGAAGUUUUUGAGAGGAAACCUCAAGAGUAUACUGGGAAGCCAUGGUGGAACAAGUAGAGAGGAAGCCUCAGAAGGAAGGAGCAAUGGUUGAACCACUUGACAUUGUUGCCUACUACAGGGAGGGUGUAAGAAACAACAUAACCGAGGGAAGAUCUGAACGUUAAACGUUGUCCAAUUAUUAUAAAUGUCUUAUACAUUACGUGUGAAAAUACCAAAAAAAAUUAUAUUCAACAUUUAUGUUUGUAUACAAGCAAUAUUUUGGAUAGUUUGAUAUAAAAAACAAAUGAAGAAAAUGAAGAAAAACAUACAAAUAUAUUUACAAUGGACAAACUUAUACAAUUAGUAUAAAUGUCUUGUAUAUUUAGUACAAAUGUCUCGUACUUUGUAAAAAUAUAAAAAUAUAGUAUUUGACUUUUAUAUAUGUGUGAAAAUGUAAAAAGAAAAAGAAAAAUAGUUAGAGCAUUUGGUACCGUGAGUGAUGACUUCACCUAAAGAAAGGUUAAUGAAUAUUAUGGUCUCGAUGGAAGAGCGACUCCGGUAAAAUAUAUGGAUUAAAUUGAUGCUUUUCUUUUGACGAUGAAGUAGUUGAGUUAUGAAUACGAGGUUUUGCUAACAGCAUUGAAGGCAAGGAUUCCCUAAUAUACUCCAAUUCAUAUUCAAUUUGUAGACCUUCAACUAACUACUCUUGCUAACGAGCAUAUCCAAGUCAAUACAUAAGAUUAAUUAAGAUUAAGUAUUACGUAUGAUAAUUGAAACCCUAUUUAAAUAAAUAAUGACACAUAUAUAAAAAAUAUAUAUAUUUUUAAAAAAAUAAAUAACAAUUUAGAGAAUUUCAUAACUUAGCAUCAAACCUAUUGUAAGAAAGAGUAUUAUACAAUGUAGGGUUUAGGAUCCAAGUCAACCUAAGAUCAAAUUUAAGUUUUAAGAUCAAUUCACAUUCAAAACUAAGGUUUUAAGUUUCAAAAAUAUAUUUCUUAAACCAAUUAAAUGGAAAAAAGAAAAUUACAAAGAAAAUUUCUCCCUCAUCAGUUUCUUUUAUCUUGAAAACUAAAGGAAAUAUAUAUCAAUAUUUGAGAUGGAAAUUCAUAAUCUUAGGUGGUGUUUGUUUUUUUGGCUUUUUGCUGAAAACUAUUUAGUUUUAGAAUUUAGGUUUUUUUUUUUUUUUACUUUUUCAUGACUUAUAAUAAACUUUUUACUAAAUAGAAAAAACCAAAAUAUGUGGUUUUUUCUAAAUAGAAAAAAUAACACAAUGGUUUUUUUUACUUUUUAAUACUUAAUAGAAAUAAAAUACUACAAAAACAAACAUCUUAAUAUUUAAUACUAUUAAGUAUUAAGGUUCUAUUUAGAAUUAAGUAAAAAAACAAACACCACCUUAGAAACACAAAGAACAAAGAGAGUAUGAAGAGACCAUACCAUGAGAGAUUUUCCGAAAGGUUGGUAAACCAUGGUAAUCACCUUUGAGUCUUGCUGAGAAAAACAAACCUUAUUUAUUUUUAUUUUUUUAUCAUUUUUUCUCUUGUGUGGUGUACAUUUAAGAAAAACAAAUCUCAAAAAAAAAAAAAAACACAAACCAAAUAAUGCCAGAAUUUGGGUUGAGAAACACCCAAAAGAUAGUGGCCCAAUACAUGUGCCUAAGAAAAUCUUCAUGAGCCGAUAAACAUAGUCACAAAACUAGUAACAGCCUUGUAGCCAUAGUUGGUGUAGUAUGAGCAAGUGGGGUAUGAAGUAGGUAGGUGAGUAUUGCAAUGAAAUUUCCAGCACUGCUUCCUGAAUUAAGAAAUCACAUACCCAAGUCUUAGUCGUCGUCGUCGUCGUACCGUGUGAGAACCGGGAAGAAUCUUUGCUCGUAGACUGGCUUUUGUAGUCUUUCUUUAACAAUUACAAGUUAUCUGAAUUCCCUUCAUCCUCCUAUAUAAUAUUGUUUUGGUCUUGUUCUUGUUGCAUUGUGGCUAGGCAUCUCCAUGGAAGGAAGGAGGAUGAAUCAAGUUCCUUUGUAUGAAUCAAUUUCUCUGCUCUUUUUUUUUUUCAAUCCUUGAAUCGAAUCAUUGCUUAGUUCUUGCUUUAAUUUCUCCAUUUUCUGUUGGGUCUUUGAUUGCAGGUUUAGCUCUGCAAGAGAACUGGGAAAUUUAAUUGUGACCUCCAAUCUAAUCGACUCUGCUUUGACUAAAAUUCUUGAGCUUCAAAGAGACCAAACAGCCUUGCUUUCCCCCGUUCAAUACAGAGUUUUUUUAUCCAUCUCCCAACUGCACAAUUGUAGCUUUUGUCUCUUCACCUGACUGCACUCAAAACCCUCUUCCUGGACAAGGAGAUUUAGUUCCCUCUCCUCUCUUUGACUUCCUCUGCACCGAAGAAUACAAGUCCGUCUCCAUUAACAGAGCUGCAUUAACCCUCUUUACCUCUCUCCACGAUCAUCUCUCUGGACUAAAAACUCAGGUCAAAAUAUGAUAGUUGUUUUUAUUUUCGUUUCCUUUUUGUUAACAAUUGUGAGACAUGAAACAGCUUGACCAUGAGAUCUCUCUCAUAGAGUCAAACUACCUGAAGAAGAAGAAGACGUUACACAUAUCCAUCUGCGUUGCAUCAUCGCAUUACCCAUUGAUCGGUUGUGAUUCAACUCUUAAUAGGAAGACAGUAGAACUGGUGUUGGUAUCUGUUUUUAGAUCAGCUUAUAUGUAUCUUGUUGCUAAAAAGGGAAUGUUUAGAAGUGAGAUUAAUGGGAUUAUUCUGACAUGGAUUUCAUAUGGUUACCUGUUUUGCAGUUGACUGUGAUUGAAGGUCAAUUAAUCAUCACUGGGCACUCCCUGGGAGGAGCCGUUGCUUCUCUCUUCACCUUAUGCCUGCUAGAUGAAAAUUUAUUAAAACCCAAAUGCCGCCCCUUUUGUAUCACCUUUGGUUCACCCCUCGUCGGCGGCUUUGGCCUCCAACACUCCAUAUGGAAUUCUUUCUUCCUGCAUGUAGUGUCUAACCAAGACCCAGUCCCCGGUCUCUUCCUCCCAUCUGGCAGAGGCAGAUCUACGCCCACAUCCUCCCAUUCACAAACUACCGGUUACAAGCCCUUUGGGACAUAUCUCUUGUGCUCUGAACUUGGUUGUGCUUGUUUUGACAACCCUGAUUUAAUUUUGGAAUUGCUGAAAGUCAUAUCAUCAGAGGUUGCCGGAGGAUUGCAGGAUGUUGAUUAUGGGGAGAUUUUAAGAAACCUCAAGGAGAGGGCAAUCUGCAAGGGACUUCCGCAGGUGGGUGAAAGGUUUGCAAAUCCAUUUUCAGCUGGGAUCAUCAUGGAACUUGAGACAAUUGGAUUUAAUCAAACAAAGGUAAACAGCUUUCUCCCAUCUAAUGAUGUUAUGGAACAUGGUUUACACCUCAUUAAAUACUGCAACAACUGCCCUAUUUAGAUUUACCUUCUUGUUCUUUGGGAUUUUCCAUAACUAGACUCAUUUUUUAAUUUCAUGGCAGCUGCUGCAGCAUAACAUUGAUAUCGAGACUGUGAUAAGCGCAAUGGAAGCGGAAGCAAGAAACCUAACCCAGAAAAAUAAAGCUUCCGAUGCCAAGAAACUGAAUGAAAUAAAAAUAGACAUGACCCGGCUAGAAUUGUAUAAGAAGAAUUCGAACAUGGGUUACUACGAUUGCUUCAAAAACCAGGGGUCUAAAAGGGACAUCCACGUUGAACAGUUUAGGGUAAACCUCACAGGGUACUGGGAAGGCAUGGUUGCACAAAUACAGAGGAAGCCUCAUAAGGAAGGAGCAACAUUUCGAACCCGUUGGCUCUAUGCAGGGACGGUUUAUAGAAGAAUGGUUGAACCACUGGACAUUGCUGCCUUCUACAGAGAGGGUAGAAAAGACUACAUGAAUAAAAGAUCUGCACAUUACAAGCUGUUGCAGGAAUGGUAUGAGGAAGAUGUGAAACCCCCCUCUAGAGAUAAGCUUGAUUCCAAGAAGCAAAAGGUGUCCAGUAUCCUAACUGAGGAUUCUUGCUUUUGGGCACAUGUGGAGGAGGCUAUCUUGUCAUGCGAAUUGCUCAAGAGUGAAAACUGUAAUCUUGAGGAGGGAAAAUCAUCAUGGGAUAAUCUGGUUAAGUUCGAGGAGUAUGUAAUGGAACAGAUUGACAACUAUGCAGUGUCCCCUGAGAUUUUCUUGGAGAAAAGCAGCUUCAUGAAAUGGAGGGGACUGUAUGAGGGCUACAUAGAUACUCGCAGUAAUUCCCAUAGCUCGCCAUUGAUCAGCUUUAUGAAGAAUCGUAGUUAUAGACAAUAUGGAUAGAGGGGUAAUCCAGUUUGUGUGUUGUGUGUAUUGUUUUGUGAGCAUUCAAUGGAUAGAACUAGAAAGAGUGUGACCUUUUCCUUUUUUUUUUCAGUUGCUGCCCAUAUUCUCAGCACUAUUUUCUUCCUUCUUUUCCUCAGUUUUUUUGUUAAGAAAUGAAUAUUAUGAUGUUGCCGGGAUGCACUUUCAUUUUUGUUCCAUUACAUUGUGUUUUAUUCAUAUCCUAAACAAAUAAAUGUAAACAAGAAAAUCAAAUGAGACUUCAAAGAGUCUGUUCCUUUUAAAGCAAGGGAAAAAAAGGACAUGUUUGUUUACUUCCACAGCUGGGUAGAUUCAACUCCACCAAAAUUGGCAACAACUUCCCAUUGAAAAAUUCCUUUUAAGCUUGAAUGACAUAAAACUAGAUAUGUUCCAGCUAGAAUGGUACAAGAAAGAAAUCAAAAGAUGAGCACAAUGGGUUAUUAUGACAGCUUUAGAAACCUGGGGUGUAAAAGAGACAUUAAAAUGGAACCGAGGGGAAGACAUUGUAGAACAAGUAAAGAGGAAGCCUCACCAGGAAGGGCAGCUUUGCAAACCCUCUGGCUCUGUACAGGAACGAAUUAUAGAAAGAUGGUUGAACCACUUGACAUUGCUGCCUACCACAGAGAGGGUGGAAGAAACUACAUAACCAAUGGAGGAUGUAAACAUUACACGCUAUUAGAGCAAUGAUGCAAUGAAGAGAAGGGGACUUUGUCUUCCAAUAAUUUAAGAAAAUAAAACCAAAUAAUGCCAGAAUUUGGGUUGAGAAACACCCAAAAGAUAGUGGCCCAAUAUGAAGUAGUCACAAAACUAGUAACAGCCUUGUGGCCAUAGUUGGUGUAGUAUGAGCAAGUGGGGUAUGAAGUAGGUAGGUGAGUAUUGCAAUGAAAUUUCCAGCACUGCUUCCUGAAUUAAGAAAUCACAUACUCAAGUCUUAAUCGUUGUCAUCAUACCGUGUGAGAACCGAGGAAGAAUCUUUGCUCUUAGACUGGAUUUUGUAGUCUUUCUUUAACAAUUACAAGUUAUCUGAAUUCCCUUCAUCCUCCUAUAUAAUAUUGUUUUUGGUCUUGUUCUUGUUGCAUUGUGGCUAGGCAUCUCCAUGGGAGGAAGGAGGAUGAAUCAAGUUCCUUUGUAUGAAUCAAUUUCUCUGCUCUUUUUUUUUUCAAUCCUUGAAUCGAAUCAUUGCUUAGUUCUUGCUUUAAUUUCUCCAUUUUCUGUUGGGUCUUUGAUUGCAGGUUUAGCUCUGCAAGAAAACUGGGAAAUUUAAUUGUGACCUCCAAUCUAAUCGACUCUGCUUUGACUAAAAUUCUUGAGCUUCAAAGAGACCAAACAGCCUUGCCUUCCCCCGUUCAAUACAGAGUUUUUUAUCCAUCUCCCAACUGCACAAUUGUAGCUUUUGUCUCUUCACCUGACUGCACUCAAAACCCUCUUCCUGGACAAGGAGAUUUAGUUCCCUCUCCUCUCUUUGACUUCCUCUGCACCGAAGAAUACAAGUCCGUCUCCAUUAACAGAGCUGCAUUAACCCUCUUUACCUCUCUCCACGAUCAUCUCUCUGGACUAAAAACUCAGGUCAAAAUAUGAUAGUUGUUUUUAUUUUCGUUUCCUUUUUGUUAACAAUUGGGAGACAUGAAACAGCUUGACCAUGAGAUCUCUCUCAUAGAGUCAAACUACCUGAAGAAGAAGAAGACGUUACACAUAUCCAUCUGCGCUGCAUCAUCGCAUUACCCAUUGAUCGGUUGUGAUUCAACUCUUAAUAGGAAGACAGUAGAACUGGUGUUGGUAUCUGUUUUUAGAUCAGCUUAUAUGUAUCUUGUUGCUAAAAAGGGAAUGUUUAGAAGUGAGAUUAAUGGGAUUAUUCUGACAUGGAUUUCAUAUGGUUACCUGUUUUGCAGUUGACUGUGAUUGAAGGUCGAUUAAUCAUUACUGGGUACUCGAUGGGAGGAUCCGUUGCUUCUCUCUUCACCUUAUGCCUGUUAGAAGUCAUCAAUUUAUCAAAACCCAAAUGCCGCCCCAUUUGUAUCACCUUUGGUUCACCCCUCAUAGGCGACUUUGGCCUCCAACACUCCAAUUGGAAUUCUUUCUUCUUGCAUGUAGUGUCCAACCAAGAUCUAGUCCCCGGACUCUUCCUCCCAUCCGACAGAUCUCCUCCCACAUCCUCCCAUUCACAAACUACUGGUUACAAGCCCUUUGGGACAUAUCUCUUGUGCUCUGAACUUGGUUGUGCUUGUUUUGACAACUCUGAUUUAAUUUUGGAAUUGCUGAAAGUCAUAUCAUCAGAGGUUGCCAGAGGAUUGCGGGAUGUUGAUUACAGGAAGAUUUUAAGAAACCUCAAGGAGAGGGCAAUCUGCAAGGGACUUCCGCAGGUGGGUGAAAGGUUUGCAAAUCCAUUUUCAGCUGGGAUCAUCAUGGAACUUGAGACGAUUGGAUUUAAUGAAACAAAGGUAAACAGCUUUCUCCCAUCUACUGAUGUUAUGGAACAUGGUUUACACAUCAUUAAAUACUGCAACAACUGCCCUAUUUAGAUUUAGGGCAAUGAUGAAAAUAUCAGUAAUCACGGAUAUAUCAGUAUUUCGAUUUUACGGAUAUAUCGGAUAUAUCGGAGAUAUAUCGGUAGAUAUUUUGAAAAAAAAUAUCGGCAAGCUUAAAAUUGUUAAAAACUCAUGAAAAUAUAAGAAAAUCUCAUAAUAAUAUAAUUAAAAGUAUAAUAGACAUUUUAAAGUUAUUUUAUUGAAAAUUUUGAUAUAUGUAUAACAUGAUUUAUCAUAUUUGAUAAUAAUAUCGUAUGCGUCGAUAAAAAUAUGAAUUUUAUAAGUGUACAUUUAUUAUUAAAUUACACCUAAUAUUAUGAUAUCUGAUUAUAAUAUGUCUAAUUUUAAAAUAUAUAUUAGUAUUAAAAUAUGAUCCAUUUAAUUCAAUUGUAUUAAACAAUAUAAAAUAAAUAAUGAUAUAUAUAUAUAUAUAUAUAAUUUUUUAAUAUUUAAUUAAUUAUUAAUGAUAUUAAAAACAUUAUGAAGAAAAUUAUAUAAUUUUUUAAUUUUUGGUAAUUAAUUAAAAGACUUUGCAUUUAAUUAUAAAUUAAUUAUAAUUAAUUUACUCUUUAAAAUAUUCUUAUAUUUUCUUUAUAUAAUGAAUUUAAGUAUAUAUAUAGUUGUUGCAUAUUAUAUAUUAAAGGACAACUUAGCCCAAGUGGUAAGCGAGUGAACCCCAAUGUGAGGCAUUGUAGCACGUGCACUGUAGCAUCACUGUAGCGACUCUGACUUUCGUUGACCCGCAUUGACUACACGAUAUAUCGGAGAAAAAUCACUGAUUUAUCGCCAAAUCACCAAUAAAUCGCCGAUUUCUCGCGAUAAAUACCAAAAUAUAGUGUCGAAACCCUUCGAUACACGAUUUUUCGGCGCAUUUUCUUACUUGGAUUUACCUUUUUGUUCUUUGGGAUCUUCCAUGACUCAUUUUUUAAUGCCAUUUUAUUUUCCUUUUUGUUUCUAAAUUUUUAAAAAAUCGUUUUCACUUCUUUUUUUUAAGAAAAUUUUGGCAAAUUUUGAAAAUAUAAUAUUAGUGUUUUCACUUCUUUCUUUUUUUUUUUUUUCUUUUUUUUUUUAAACUCAAUUUUCUAAAAAAUGAAAAUAGAAAAACAUUGUCUAAACAUGUUUGUAAACUUAAUUUUAUUUUUUUAUAAAUGAAAAAAAAAAUCUAAAUGAGUAAGGCUUUAUUAAUUUUAAUUUUUUUCUUUUCCUUAUAUUUUCUUAUUUUAUUCCAAAUUUUCUUGCAACCAAACAUAAUCUAAAUGUUUACAACUUUUAUUGUAAGGAAUGAAUGACACUACUUUGUGAACUUUUAUGAUAAUAUUUUGAAUCAUAAAUUGUGUUUUUUUUAGUAAUAUCAAUUUUAUUACCAAUGACUUAAUUGUUAAUAACAAAAUAUAAUAUUUAUAAAUAUUUUUAUUCUCAACAGGCUACAAUUUUUACUCUUGUGAUAAAAAAAAUUUUGUCAUAAAUUACACAUUAUGAUGAGUUUUUCUAUUUUCCUUAUCAGCCAAUUCAACAAAUAUCAUAUAUAUUGUAAUGGCUAACAAAUUUUCACAUAAAUUUUUUAUAAGAUAAAGUAGAAUGGAAUUAUUCAAUUUCAAAAAAAAAAAAAAUGGUACCUAAUGAAAAAGAUAAAAUAUAUAGAUCAUCUCGAAGAAAUCAGGAAAGAUAAAUGAUGAGACCAUAUAUAGGACCCUUGAUGGAGACUAUUUUAAUUGAAGUGGUGUGCUCCUUCCGACUCAGAACAUGUUCAGCAUUGCACACAAACUAACAUCGUCGAUCUUGAGUAUGAAAAAGGUGAUUAGAUUCCAAGGUUGUCGUUUGUCCCAACUCCUCAUAUUAGAGGUGAUGCUCAAGCUAACGUGCCUCGCAGUUGAGCCCCGGCCAAUCGGUCUAAUAUGCUUUUCCAAUGGUGAGUUUCACUGCCACCAUGUAUUACAUUAAUUCCGAUAGCGCACAAGUUGUGUUUGUGCUAUUGCUUUUUGCCCUCACAAACAUAUACACAAGAGACAUUCAGACCAGAUCUGUUCUACCAUCCUCUAGGAAAGCAUUGUAGGUCAUUUGAAAUUGGGAUUUCAGCACCAGAGUCAAAUUGCCUUCCUUCCUGAAAGAUGAGCAUUUUUUAUACUCUUACAUCGGCUUUUAUGGAAAUGAAAUCAGCUUCUCAUUCUGUUACAUUUUUCAAUUUUGCUGCCUAUAACUGCUCACUGCCUGUUUGUGAGACAUUAUCCAGAUUUUCCCUGAUCAAUUAUAGAGAGGUCAUUGGACUCAUCCAUGAUUGGAAUUUCCUGUUAUCAUUAUUUGCAAAUCAUCAACCAUUUGUCAUGAUAUCUUAAGUUAAGCUGAGCACGAAUUUCAGCUAAGAUCCUCAGAACUAGAAAUAUGCACUGCAGGUAUUACUUGAUAUGUGAAUAUCCAAUACAAUAUUUUUUUACUAAGAGGAAUACGAAUUUGAAACACUUUCCAAUAAUUUAUCAAGUCAUAUUUUCGUGCUGUCGUGAUACAUGUGUCUACUGUAUGCAUGGCUUUUCUUUUCUACACAUGCCUUUAUCUUUGCACAUGACUCUUUUGAUACACGCCAGCAUCAAGGCAAUUGCCUAAAUCUAAAUCACAUCCUUUGUGUCACGUCUUCCUUGUUACCACGGUCCUCUUGUACACCAUGGUCCCUUAAUGUAACUUGUGCCACAAGCCCUUUGUGCAUGAAUUCAAAUUGUUCAAUCAUUUCGCCAUUUACACCUUUUAAGGUCCAAUAAGCGUAUACAAGAGACUACACUCAUUCUAGAUGAUAAAGUACAUUCAACUAACUACUCUUGCUAAUGAGCAUAUCCAAGUCAAUACAUAAGAUUAAUUAUUACAUAUGGUAAUUGAAACCCUGUUUAAAUAAAUAGUGACACAAAUAUAAAAAAUAUAUAUAUUUAAAAAUAAAUAAAUAACAAUUUAGAGAAUUUCAUAACUUAGUAUCAAACCUAUUGUAGGAAAGAGUAUUAUACAAUGUAGGGUUUAGGAUCAAAGUUAACCUAAGAUCAAUUUUAAGUUUUAAGACCAAUUCAAAUUCAAAACUAAGGUUUUAAGUUUCAAAAAUAUAUCUCUUAAACCAAUUAAAUAGAAAAAAGAAAAUUACAAAGAAAAUUUCUUCCUCAUCGGUUUCUUUUAUCUUGAAAACUAAAGGAAAUAUAUAUCAAUAUUUGAGAUGGAAAUUCAUAAUCUUAGAAACACAAAGAACAAAGAGAGUAUGAAGAGACCAUACCAUGAGAGAUUUUCCAAAAGGUUGGUAAACCAUGGUAAUCACCUUUGAGUUUUGCUGAGAAAAACAAACCUUAAUUUUUAUUUUUAUUUUUUUAUCAUUUUUUCUCUUGUGGUGUACAUUUAAGAAAAACAAAUCUUAAAAAAAAAAAAAAAAAAACCAAAUAAUGCCAGAAUUUGGGUUGAGAAACACCCAAAAGAUAGUGGCCCAAUACAUGUGCCUAAGAAAAUCUUCAUGAGCCGAUAAACAUAGUCACAAAACUAGUAACAGCCUUGUAGCCAUAGUUGGUGUAGUAUGAGCAAGUGGGGUAUGAAGUAGGUAGGUGAGUAUUGCAAUGAAAUUUCCAGCACUGCUUCCUGAAUUAAGAAAUCACAUACCCAAGUCUUAGUCGUCGUCGUCGUACCGUGUGAGAACCGGGAAGAAUCUUUGCUCGUAGAGUGGCUUUUGUAGUCUUUCUUUAACAAUUACAAGUUAUCUGAAUUCCCUUCAUCCUCCUAUAUAAUAUUGUUUUUGGUCUUGUUCUUGUUGCAUUGUGGCUAGGCAUCUCCAUGGAAGGAAGGAGGAUGAAUCAAGUUCCUUUGUAUGAAUCAAUUUCUCUGCUCUUUUUCUUUUCAAUCCGUGAAUCGAAUCAUUGCUUAGUUCUUGCUUUAAUUUCUCCAUUUUCUGUUGGGUCUUUGACUGCAGGUUUAGCUCUGCAAGAGAACUGGGAAAUUUAAUGGUGACCUCCAAUCUAAUCGACUCUGCUUUGACUAAAAUUCUUGAGCUUCAAAGAGACCAAACAGCCUUGCUUUCCUCCGUUCAAUACAGAGUUUUUUAUCCAUCUCCCAAGUGCACAAUUGUAGCUUUUGUCUCUUCACCUGACUGCACUCAAAACCCUCUUCCUGGACAAGGAGAUUUAGUUCCGUCUCCUCUCUUUGACUUCCUCUGCACCGAAGAAUACAAGUCCGUCUCCAUUAACAGAGCUGCAUUAACCCUCUUUACCUCUUUCCACGAUCAUCUCUCUGGACUAAAAACUCAGGUCAAAAUAUGAUAGUUGUUUUUAUUUUCGUUUCCUUUUUGUUAACAAUUGUGAGACAUGAAACAGCUUGACCAUGAGAUCUCUCUCAUAGAGUCAAACUACCUGAAGAAGAAGAAGACGUUACACAUAUCCAUCUGCGUUGCAUCAUCGCAUUACCCAUUGAUCGGUUGUGAUUCAACUCUUAAUAGGAAGACAGUAGAACUGGUGUUGGUAUCUGUUUUUAGAUCAGCUUAUAUGUAUCUUGUUUCUAAAAAAGGUAAGUUUAGAAGUGAGAUUAAUGGGAUUAUUCUGACAUGGAUUCCAUAUGGUUACCUGUUUUGCAGUUGACUCAGAUUGAAGGUCAAUUAAUCAUCACUGGGCACUCCCUGGGAGGAUCCGUUGCUUCUCUCUUCACCUUAUGCCUGCUAGAUGGAAAUUUAUUAAAACCCAACUGCCGCCCCUUUUGUAUCACCUUUGGUUCACCCCUCAUCGGCGGCUUUGGCCUCCAACACUCCAUAUGGAAUUCUUUCUUCCUGCAUGUAGUGUCUAACCAAGACCCAGUCCCCGGUCUCUUCCUCCCAUCUGGCAGAGGCAGAUCUACGCCCACAUCCUCCCAUUCACAAACUACCGGUUACAAGCCCUUUGGGACAUAUCUCUUGUGCUCUGAACUUGGUUGUGCUUGUUUGGAAAAGCCUGAUUUAAUUUUGGGAUUGCUGAAAGUCAGAUCAUCCGAGGUUGCCGGAGGAUUGCAGGAUGUUGAUUAUGGGGAGAUUUUAAGAAACCUCAAGGAGAGGGCAAUCUGCAAGGGACUUCAGCAGGUGGGUGAAAGGUUUGCAGAUCCUUUUACAGCUGGGAUCAUCAUGGACCUUGAGAUAAUUGGAUUUGAUCAAACAAAGGUAAACAGCUAGCUUUCUCCCAUCUAAUGAUGUUAUGAAACAUGGUUUACACUUCACCAAAUACUGCAACAACUGCCCUAUUUAGAUUUGCCGUCUUGUUCUUUGGGAUCUUCCAUAACUAGACUCAUUUUUUAAUUUCAUGGCAGCUGCUGCAGCAUAACAUUGAUAUCGAGACUGUGAUAAGCACAAUGGAAGAGGAAGCCAGAAACCCAACCAAAAAAAAUAAAGCUUUCGAUGCCAAGAUUCUGAAUCACAAAAAAAAAGACAUGGCCGGGCUAGAAUGGUAUAAGAAGAAAUCAAAAGAUCUGAACAAGGGUUACUACGACUGCUUCAAAAACCAGGGGUCAAAAAGGGACAUUAAAAUUGAACAGUAUGGGGGACACCUCACAUUAUACUGGAAAGACAUGGUUGCACAAGUACAGAGGAAGCCCCAGAAGGAAGGAGCAACAUUUCGAACCCGUUGGCUCUAUGCAGGGACGGUUUAUAGAAGAAUGGUUGAACCACUGGACAUUGCUGCCUUCUACGUAGAGGGUGGAACAGACUACAUGAAGAAUGAAAGAUCUCUUCAUUACAAGCUGUUGCAGCAAUGGUAUGAGGAAGAUGUGAAACCCCCCUCUAAGGAUAAGCUUGAUUCCAAGAAGCAAAAGGUGUCUGGUAUCCUAACUGAGGAUUCUUGCUUUUGGGCACAUGUGGAGGAGGCUAUCUUGUCAUGCGAAUUGCUUAAGAGUGAAAACUGUACUCUUGAGCAGGAAAAAUCAUCAUGGGAUAAUCUGGUUAAGUUCGAGGAGUAUGUAAUGGAACAGAUUAACAACUAUGCAGUGUCCCCUGAGAUUUUCUUGGGGGAAAGCAGCUUCAUGAAAUGGUGGGGACUGUAUGAGGGCUACAUAUAUGCUCGCAGUAAUUCCCAUAGGUCACCAUUGAUCAGCUUUAUGAAGAACGGUAGUUAUACAGAGUAUCGUUAGAGGGGUAAUCCAGUUUGUGUGUUGUGUGUAUUGUUUUGUGAGCAUUCAAUGGAUAGAACUAGAAAGAGUGUGACCUUUUUCCUUUUUUUCUUCUAGUUGCUGCCCAUAUUCUCAGCACUAUUUUCUUCCUUCUUUUCCUCAGUUUUUUCUUAAGAAAUGAAUAUUAUGAUGUUGCUGGGAUGCACUUUCAUUUUUGUUCCAUUACAUUGUGUUUUAUUCAUAUCCUAAACAAAUAAAUGUAAACAAGAAAAUCAAAUAAGACUUCAAAGAGUCUGUUCCUUUUAAAGCAAGGGAAAAAAAGGACAUGUUUGUUUACUUCCACAGCUGGGUAGAUUCAACUCCACCAAAAUUGGCAACAACUUCCCAUUGAAAAAUUCCUUCUAAGCUUGAAUGACAUAAAACUAGAUAUGUUCCAGCUAGAAUGGUACAAAAAAGAAAUCAAAAGAUGAGCACAAUGGGUUAUUAUGACAGCUUUAGAAACCAUCUUACAACACAUCCAUCAGAAUUUAGACUAUUCAUAGAAACAUUCUUAACAUGUAAAUCUACUAUUGCCAUGCACGUCAACAUAGAAUUUCUAAAAUGAUUGAAUAAAAUAAAUAAAACAAAAGAAACCCUUCCAAGAGAAUUUCAUAAUCUAAUGUCAAAUCUAUUACGAAGAUGAACAUGUAAAAUUUAAGGUUUAUAAUCAAAGUCGACUUGAAUCUGAGUUUUAAAACCAAUUUGCAGUUUUUAAGUUUGGAGACUAGAUCUCUUAAACCAAUUAAAUGUAAAAAACUAAAAAGAAAACUUCUUCAAAUUUUGAAAUGAGAAUGAGAAUGCAAUUCCUAACUAGUUUCUUCAUCAAAAAUCCCGAAAAAAAAAAAAAAAGAAGAGAGAGAGAGACCAUAGACGCCAGUGUUUGGGUUUAGAACCACCCAAGAGAGAGUAGUCCAAUAUAUGGGCUUAAGAAAAUCCUCAUGGGCCUAAGCUAAGACUAGGAACAAUCUUGUAUCCGUGGUUGGUUUAGUAUGAGCAUGUGUACUGCGAAGGAAGUAGCUGAGAAUUGCAAUGGAAUUUCCAGUACUGCUUCCUGAACGAACAAAUCGCAUACCCAAGAUUUGGUCGUCAACGCCAUGCUGGGUGAGAACCGGGGAAGCAUCUUCGCUCGUUGACGAGCUUUUGUAGUCCUUCUUUAACAAUUAUAAGGCAUCUGAAUUCCCUUCAUCCUCCCACACCAUUGUUUUUGGUCUUGUUCUUGUUGCUUUGUGACUACGCAUCUCCAUGGAAGGAAGGAGGAUGAACCAAGUUCCUUUGUAUGCAUCAAUUUUACUGUUUUUUUUUUCCUUUUUAAUCUUUGGAUCGAAUCAUUGCUUAGUUCUUGCUUAAUUUCUCCAUUUUAUGUUGGGUCUUUGAUUGCAGGUUUAGCUCUGCGCGAGAACUGGGAAAUUUAAUUGUGACCUCCAAUCUAAUCGACUCUGCUUUGACUAAAAUUCUUGAGCUUCAAAGAGACCAAACAGCCUUGCCUUCCCCCGUUCAAUACAGAGUUUUUUAUCCAUCUCCCAAGUGCACAAUUGUAGCUUUUGUCUCUUCACCUGACUGCACUCAAAACCCUCUUCCUGGACAAGGAGAUUUAGUUCCCUCUCCUCUCUUUGACUUCCUCUGCACCGAAGAAUACCCUUCCGUCUCCAUUAACGGAGCCGCAUUAACCCUCUUUACCUCUCUCUACGAUCAUCUCUCUGGACUAAUAGAUGAGGUCAAAAUCUGAUACUUGUUUUAAUUUACGUUAACUUUUCGUUAACAAUUGUGAGACACGUAUAUAUAUAUAUAUAUAUAUAUAUCUUGUGGAUAAAAGGAAAGUUUACAAGUGAGAAUAGUGGCAUUUUUCUGACAGAUUUCACACCGUUGCUUGUUUUGCACUUGACUGUGAUUGAAGGUCGAUUAAUCAUCACUGGGCACUCGAUGGGAGGAUCCGUUGCUUCUCUCUUCACCUUAUGCCUGCUAGAAGUCAUUAAUAUAUCAAAACCCAAAUGCCGCCCCAUUUGCAUCACAUUUGGUUCACCCCUCAUAGGCGACUUUGGCUUCCAACACUCCAAUUGGAAUUCUUUCUUCUUGCAUGUAGUGUCCAACCAAGAUCUAGUCCCCGGACUCUUCCUCCCAUCCGGCAGAUCUCCUCCCACAUCCUCCCAUUCACAAACUACUGGUUACAAGCCCUUUGGGACAUAUCUCUUGUGCUCUGAACUUGGUUGUGCUUGUUUUGACAACCCUGAUUUAAUUUUGGAAUUGCUGAAAGUCAUAUCAUCAGAGGUUGCCGGAGGAUUGCGGGAUGUUGAUUACAGGAAGAUUUUAAUAAACCUCAAGGAGAGGGCAAUCUUCAAGGGACUUCAGCAGGUGGGUGAAAGGUUUGCAGAUCCCUUGUCAGCUGGGAUCAUCAUGGACCUUGAGAUAAUUGGAUUUGAUCAAACAAAGGUAAACAGCUUUCUCCCAAUUAAUGAUGUAGCAUGGUUUACACUCAACUUCACCAAAACCUGCAACAACUGCCCUAUUUAGAUUUGCCUUCCGGUUCUUUGGGUUCUUCUAUAACUUCUCAUUUUUUAAAUCCAUGGCAGCUGUUGCGGCACAACAUUGAUAUCAACACUGUGAUAAGGAUACUGGGAGCGGAAGCCAGAAUCCUAGCCCACAAAAAUAAAGCUUCUGAUGCCAAGAAACUGAAUGACAUAAAAAUACACAUGGCCCAGCUAGAAUGGUAUAAGAAGAAAUCAAAAGAUCUGAACAAGGGUUACUACGACUGCUUCAAAAACCAGGGGUUAAAAAGGGACAUUAAAAUUGAACAGUAUAGGGGACACCUCACAAUAUACUGGAAAGACAUGGUUGCACAAGUACAGAGGAAGCCCCAGAAGGAAGGAGCAUCAUUUCGAACCAGUUGGCUCUAUCCAGGGACAACUUAUAGAAGAAUGGUUGAACCACUGGACAUUGCUGCCUUCUACAGAGAGGGUAGAACAGACUACAUAAACAAUGGAAGAUCUCCUCAUUACAAGCUGUUGCAGCAAUGGUAUGAGGAAGAUGUGAAGCCCCCAUCCAGAGAUAAGCUCGAUUCCAAGAAACUAAAGGUGUCUGGUAUCCUAACUGAGGAUUCUUUGUUUUGGGCACAUGUGGAGGAGGCUCUCUUGUCAUGCGAAUCGCUCAAGAGUGCAAACUCUACUCUUGAGCAGAGAAAAUCAUCAUGGGAUAAUCUGGUUAAGUUUGGGGAGUAUGUAAUGGAACAGAUUGGAAACUAUGCAGUGUCCCCUGAGAUUUUCUUGGGGGAAAGCAGCUUCAUGAAAUGGUGGGGAGUGUAUGAGGACUACAUAGAUGCUUCCAAUAAUUUCUAUGGGUCACCAUUGAUCAACUUUAUGAAGGACCGUAGUUAUAGACUGUAUGGUUAGAGGGCAAUCCAGUUUGUGUAUUGUGUUUAUUGUAUUGUGAGCAUUCAAUAGAUAAAACUAGAAAGAGCGUGACCUUUUUAUGACAACUUUAGAAACCAGGGGUUAAAAGAGACAUUACAAAUUGAAUUUUUUGAGAGGAAACCUCAAGAGUAUACUGGGAAGCCAUGGUGGAACAAGUAGAGAGGAAGCUUCGGAAGGAAGGAUCAAUGGUUGAACCACUUGACAUUGUUGCCUACUUCAGGGAGGGUGUAAGAAACAACAUAACCGAGGGAAGAUCUGAACAUUAAACAUUGUACAAUUAUUGUAAAUGUCUUAUACAUUACGUGUGAAAAUACCAAAAAAAAUUAUAUUCAACAUUUAUGUUUGUAUACAAGCAAUAUUUUGGAUAGUUUGAUAUAAAAAACAAAUGAAGAAAACGAAGAAAAACAUACAAAUAUAUUUACAAUGGACAAACUUAUACAAUUAGUGUAAAUGUCUUGUAUAUUUAGUACAAAAGUCUCGUACUUUGUAAAAAUAUAAAAAUAUAGUAUUUGACUUUUAUAUAUGUGUGAAAAUGUAAAAGGAAAAAGAAAAAUAGUUAGAGCAUUUGGUACCGUGAGUGAUGACUUCACCUAAAGAAAGGUUAAUGAAUAUUAUGGUCUCGAUGGAAGAGCGACUCCGGUAAAAUAUAUGGAUUAAAUUGAUGCUUUUCUUUUGACGAUGAAGUAGUUGAGUUAUGAAUACGAGGUUUUGCUAACAACAUUGAAGGCAAGGAUUCCCUAAUAUACUCCAAUUCAUAUUCAAUUUGUAGACCUUCAACUAACUACUCUUGCUAAUGAGCAUAUCCAAGUGAAUACAUAAGAUUAAUUAUUACAUAUGAUAAUUGAAACCCUGUUUAAAUAAAUAGUGACACAAAUAUAAAAAAUAUAUAUAUUUAAAAAUAAAUAAAUAAUAAUUUAGAGAAUUUCAUAACUUAGCAUCAAACCUAUUGUAGGAAAGAGUAUUAUACAAUGUAGGGUUUAGGAUCAAAGUUAACCUAAGAUCAAAUUUAAGUCUUAAGACCAAUUCACAUUCAAAACUAAGGUUUUAAAUUUCAAAAAUAUAUCUCUUAAACCAAUUAAAUGGAAAAAAGAAAAUUACAAAGAAAAUUUCUUCCUCAUCGGUUUCUUUUAUCUUGAAAACUAAAGGAAAUAUAUAUCAAUAUUUGAGAUGGAAAUUCAUAAUCUUAGAAACACAAAGAACAAAGAGAGUAUGAAGAGACCAUACCAUGAGAGAUUUUCCAAAAGGUUGGUAAACCAUGGUAAUCACCUUUGAGUUUUGCUGAGAAAAACAAACCUUAAUUUUUAUUUUUAUUUUUUUAUCAUUUUUUCUCUUGUGGUGUACAUUUAAGAAAAACAAAUCUUAAAAAAAAAAAAAAAAAAACCAAAUAAUGCCAGAAUUUGGGUUGAGAAACACCCAAAAGAUAGUGGCCCAAUACAUGUGCCUAAGAAAAUCUUCAUGAGCCGAUAAACAUAGUCACAAAACUAGGAACAGCCUUGUAGCCAUAGUUGGUGUAGUAUGAGCAAGUGGGGUAUGAAGUAGGUAGGUGAGUAUUGCAAUGAAAUUUCCAGCACUGCUUCCUGAAUUAAGAAAUCACAUACUCAAGUCUUAAUCGUUGUCAUCAUACCGUGUGAGAACCGAGGAAGAAUCUUUGCUCUUAGACUGGAUUUUGUAGUCUUUCUUUAACAAUUACAAGUUAUCUGAAUUCCCUUCAUCCUCCUAUAUAAUAUUGUUUUUGGUCUUGUUCUUGUUGCAUUGUGGCUAGGCAUCUCCAUGGGAGGAAGGAGGAUGAAUCAAGUUCCUUUGUAUGAAUCAAUUUCUCUGCUCUUUUUUUUUUCAAUCCUUGAAUCGAAUCAUUGCUUAGUUCUUGCUUUAAUUUCUCCAUUUUCUGUUGGGUCUUUGAUUGCAGGUUUAGCUCUGCAAGAAAACUGGGAAAUUUAAUUGUGACCUCCAAUCUAAUCGACUCUGCUUUGACUAAAAUUCUUGAGCUUCAAAGAGACCAAACAGCCUUGCCUUCCCCCGUUCAAUACAGAGUUUUUUAUCCAUCUCCCAAGUGCACAAUUGUAGCUUUUGUCUCUUCACCUGACUGCACUCAAAACCCUCUUCCUGGACAAGGAGAUUUAGUUCCCUCUCCUCUCUUUGACUUCCUCUGCACCGAAGAAUACAAGUCCGUCUCCAUUAACAGAGCUGCAUUAACCCUCUUUACCUCUCUCCACGAUCAUCUCUCUGGACUAAAAACUCAGGUCAAAAUAUGAUAGUUGUUUUUAUUUUCGUUUCCUUUUUGUUAACAAUUGUGAGACAUGAAACAGCUUGACCAUGAGAUCUCUCUCAUAGAGUCAAACUAC
rnacentral:lncRNA from 1 species